UCUUAUAAUAACUCUUUCAAAAAAUUUUUGUGAAGUACAUGUUGUAUAGAAAUUGAAACCUUUUUUAAUCAUGAUAUAGAAUUGGUAUUCUAGUUUCCACAAUACUAAUUUUAUUUGGAUACUAAGUUCUUUUUAUUUGAUACUAGCUGACACCGCGCGGCUUUACCCGCGUGGUUCCCGUUCCCGUAGGAAUACAGGGAUAUGUAGCUUACAGCCUUCCUCGAUAAAUGGGCUACCUAACAAAGAAAGAAUUUUUUAAAUCGGACUAGUAGUUCCUGAGAUCAGCGCGUUCAAUCAACCAAACAAACAAACAAACUCUUCAGCUUUAUAAUAUUAAUAAUAUAAUAUAGAUUUACUGACUAAUAUGAUGAACAUCUGUCAUGCACCAAUCUGAAAGGUUUUGCUGAACAAUCACCUACCGGUAUAUCUGACACCAAACAAUUUAAUUCUUGUAUAAUUACAUACCAUCAUUACAUAAUGUGUAUUGAUAUAUGUCACUUUCUAUUUCAGAUCCGGUUUACAAAGUCCUCCAGUUAUUUGAGAAAAAAAGAUUACAGAGAACCUCUCCACAGAGCAUCUCUCUUAUGUUUAAGGUAACAAUUUGGAAGCCUCUUCAAAACAAUUACGUAUAACAUGUAUAACAUUCUUAUAAUUUAUAUUGAAAAUAAAGAUAAUUAUUAUUUUA